UUCUAGACAUCAUUCACCCACUGCUCAUAUGAAAAUAAAAAUCUUCUUACCAAAAAGUGCAUAGCAUUGCACCAAUAUCUUCUAUAAUCUGUUCAUUUUAUUUUAAUGUGGCUCUUAACAUACUAGAUAAUUUUUGUGUGAUCUGCUCUUAAGAAUGCUUGUAGAAACUUACACAUUGAAGCACCUGUAUUUCUUCAAAAAGGAAGUUAGGAUGAAUUUUAUGUCUCGUUCUGCACAAUUAUAAUGUGAACUUCCAAAGAGAUUCCCAGUUAUUAUACACUGAGGCCAUGUUUAGGUAAUAAGAAAGUUAGUUUACUGAAAAAUUAAGCUUUAAUAUAGAUUUAGAAUCACUGAGUUGAAAACUGAUUACCCAUUAAGAGUCAGCUAAUCCUGAAGUGAAAACUCUAAUGUCUGCAGACAUCAGGCAGGCAUCUUAAAUGAGUGAAGCUCUUGGGUAGGGACAAUGGUGAACUGGCACAUGUGUACAUCCUUUACAGGACACUGCCACACGAACUUGCAGCCAACUUUUGCCAUGAUAGAAUGCAGUCAAGGAAAGACAGAGAUUCUCAUUUUCAUUAGUAGCUAGGAAUCUACAUUUUUGCUAGCAUAUUCUUGAUUUUAAAAAUACAUAUUUAUUUCUAAUGACUUCACAAAAAUUUUAACAUUUCACAUGUUAAUCAGCAAAACCAAAAAUAUGUGAACCAACAUGUCCCCAGUUUAUGGAUUGCUGUUGACCCAUUUAUUGAUCCAGUACCAACAUUUUACAGUUGAUGAUAUUAAGGUCUAAUUCAAGUGACCAUCAUACCUUAGUGGUCAAACAGAAACUAGACAUUCUAUAUACAGGGAGUUAAAACUACUCCUUUUGAUUCAGAUCCCAUUAUGACCAAUAUAUCUACACAAUAUUGAGCAAAUUUCUUGAUUUCUCUGACCUUGAGCUUCCCAAUGUAUGAAACAGAGAUAGUGAUAGUACUUAGAUCAUAAGUUUGUUGAAGGGAUAAUGUGAAGUAUGAAUAAUGUGUAAAGAGGACUUAGCAGAAUGCCUGGCCAAAGAAAGCAUUUGAUAAAUGGGAAUUACAGUCAUGGUCAUUGGAAUGGUCAUUCUAAAGCUUCCUGGAAAGAAAGAAAGAAUCUUAAUGGGAAAGCCUAAUCUGAUUAUUCAAAAGUUAGAACUAUAAAUAUUUUUUACUGCUUUGAUAGUUAAUAUUAGGGAAUGUCUCUGUCAUCUGCAGUUCAGGGAAGAAAAGAAGAGGAAGAGUGGAAAGAGAGAAAAAAGGAGGAAGGGAGCAGGCGGAGGGGACAUCCCUAAGGAGCACUGUAUUCUCAAGGGACCAGCUUACAAACUCGUAUCCAAAAGCUGUGGCCAUCGCGUUCAAGAGCGGAGGGAAGGAAACACAGUCUUGGAAGUGGAGAGGACUAGAUAACUCAAACCAAAAACAGGAAGUCAACAUGUCUACCCUCCCUCUGAUUUGCGGCAGAAUUAAGAGAGGGAUGAAGUCUCAUACACGUGGGAGUAUCUGCAGUGCAGGACUUAGAACUCGGACCUGAGAAGGAGGCUAGUUAGACUGACAGAAGGGAGCACGGAGAGCAGAGGGGCCCUUUUCCAGUUCCCUGUCUGCGAGAUGCAUUGGUAGAAAGGGUUCUGAGUUCAUUUCAUGUGAUUGCAGCAUAUGUACAUGGGCAUCGCCAGAAAAACUGAAGAUCUGAGUUUGCUAAUCAUUCUUUGUUUUCCAUAUGGCAUAGACAUCAAGGUGAAAUUCAGGGAGCCCAUUAUUGAAGCUGCCAUCGUCAGAGCAAGAUAGCUUGACAGCAGCGGCUUUGGGGCGAUCCACAUGAGGCAGAGGCAGAGAAUGGAUGUCACAGGGACUCAGAGGAGUCAUCCAAACCCAUGAAGGACAAGGGCAGGUGAAGUCAUAAGAGAAGGUCGUCUGUAGUUCUGAGACCUUGGCAAAGUUUUAUUAUGAGUGCAUCCAACAAGGACAUCAACAGCGGAUUUCAGCAGAUUCUUUAGGAUCAGAACUAGUUGAGUCAAAAUGUAGUGGAGCUCAGUUUACAUUCAUCACACAUAUUCCUGCCAACUCCAGAAACUCUGUGGCCCCUUCCCACUGGCCACCAUCUUGGAAACCAGUCAGGAGAACUUAAAGCAAUCUGAAACACCAAGCAGUGGUCCAAAAAAAUCAAGUCAAAGCUAAAGAAACGCAUCAAUUGUUUUGUUUCACUUUGCUUUAGAUGAGAGUAGGCUUAGUUGUCUUUGUUUUUAUACCCUCUACCCAACAGAUAGACUCUUUGUUUUAAAGAUUUAUCUAUUUUAUUUGAAAGGCAGAGUUAUAGAGAGAGGGAGGCAGACACCCAUCUUCCAUCUGCUGGUUCUCUCAAAUGACCAGAAUGGCUGGGGCUGGGCCAGGCAGAAGCCAGGAACCUGGAACUCCAUCCAAGUCUCCUAUGUGGAUGGCAGAGGCCUAAGAACUUGAGACAUCUUCCACUGCUUUCCCAGGCACAUUAUCAGGGAGCUGGAUCAGAAGUGGAGAAACCAGAAAUCGAGCUGGUGCCCAUACAAGAUGCCAGGGCUACCCACUAUGCCACAGUGCUGGCCCAAAUAUAUUGCUUUUUGAUAUACCAAAUUUUAUGUGUAGAUUUCAGUUCCAGAUUGUAAGGUUUUUUUUUUCUUCUUCCUUCUCAACCAAUAACACUUUAGUAAUUUGGUGUCUUUAGGUAGUUAUAAAAGGCUUAGAGUACAAAGUUAUGAGAUUAAAUAGAAAGAGCUGUGAGUGGUUGUGCAAAUUGCUCAUUAAAACUGAUCACCUUUUUCAGUGCUGGCAAGUCUUCACGGAGUAGAGAAUAACUCCACCAGCAUAUGCAGCUGACACUGUCCAUCACCUGACCGGACUGAAAAAAAUCGCCUUUGAUCUCUGGAUACUGAAGAUGACUGACACCCUGAACCUGAAGAUACCGAGAGCUGUGAUAGAAGUCAUUGCAGGGUGAAUAUGAAGGAGGAGAGCAGUGUCCUGGGGACCAUAUGGCUGCAGGAACUGGGCCAGUCUGAAGCCAGGAGCCAGGAACUCCAUCUUGGUCUCCCACGUGGGUUGCAGAGGCCAAGUACUUGCCCUAUCCUCUGCUGCCUUCCCAGCUGCAUUAGCAGGGAGCUGGAUUGGAAGUGGAACCACCAGGACUCAAACCAGCACUCCAAUAUGGCAUGCCAGCAUCACAAGGAGUAAGUAAACCUACUGCACCAAAAAGCCAGCCCUAAAAUUCUUAUUUACCUAACAAGACUCCACAACUUGAGACCAGCACUUCCAGGCCCACAUCCAUCAGGUGUAUCUUCUACAGAGAGACAGGUAUACUAAACUUGGAAUCAUCUCAGACAUCUGCCCCUGCUGAACAUGCUCAAUCCCUGCAGCAUGGC